UAUCGGAUUGGUACUAAGCCAUGUGAGUCGUUGUAGCAAUACAAGGCAUACGGCUCAGUAACACGUAGUCAAUCUAACCUAUGGACGGGGAUAACCUCGGGAAACUGAGGAUAAACCCCGAUAGAUCAUAAUGCCUGGAACGGUUUAUGGUCCAAAUGAUUCGUCGCCGUAGGGUGGGACUGCGGCCUAUCAGCUUGUUGGUGAGGUAAUGGCCCACCAAGGCUAUUACAGGUACGGGCUCUGAGAGGAGAAGCCCGGAGAUGGGUACUGAGACACUGACCCAGGCCCUAUGGGGCGCAGCAGGCGAGAAACCUUUGCAAUGUGCGCAAGCACGACAAGGUUAAUCCGAGUGUUUCCUGUUAAAGGAAUCUUUUGUUAGUUCUAAAACCACUGAUGAAUAAGGGGUGGGCAAGUUCUGGUGUCAGCCGCCGCGGUAAAACCAGCACCUCAAGUGGUCAGGAUGAUUAUUGGGCCUAAAGCAUCCGUAGCCUGCUUUGUAAGUUUUCGGUUAAAUCCAUACGCUCAACGUAUGGGCUGCCGGGAAUACUGCAAAGCUAGGGAGUGGGAGAGGUAGACGGUACUCGGUAGGAAGGGGUAAAAUCCUUUGAUCUAUUGAUGACCACCUGUGGCGAAGGCGGUCUACCAGAACACGUCCGACGGUGAGGGAUGAAGGCUGGGGGAGCAAACCGGAUUAGAUACCCGGGUAGUCCCAGCUGUAAACGAUGCAGACUCGGUGAUGCGCUGGCUUGUGGCCAGUGCAGUGCCGCAGGGAAGCCGUUAAGUUUGCCGCCUGGGAAGUACGUACGCAAGUAUGAAACUUAAAGGAAUUGGCGGGGGAGCACCACAAGGGGUGAAGCCUGCGGUUCAAUUGGAGUCAACGCCAGAAAUCUUACCCGAAGAGACAGCAGAAUGAAGGUCAAGCUGGAGACUUUACCAGACAAGCUGAGAAGUGGUGCAUGGCCGUCGCCAGCUCGUGCCGUGAGAUGUCCUGUUAAGUCAGGUAACGAGCGUNUCCCUGCCUCUAGUUGCCACCAUUACUCUCCGGAGUAGUGGGGCGAAUUAGCGGGACCGCCGNAGUUAAUGCGGGAGGAAGGAAGGGGCCACGGCAGGUCAGUAUGNCCUGAAACUUUGGGGCCACACGCGGG
rnacentral:rRNA from 1 species